rnacentral:rRNA from 1 species
AACGCGAAGAACCUUACCAGUCCUUGACAUGUCUAGUAUGGGUCCGAGAGAUCGGACCCUUCAGUUCGGCUGGCUAGAACACAGGUGCUGCAUGGCUGUCGUCAGCUCGUGUCGUGAGAUGUUGGGUUAAGUCCCGCAACGAGCGCAACCCUCAUCUUUAGUUGCCCACGGGUCAGGCCGGGCACUCUAAAGAAACCGCCGGUGACAAGCCGGAGGAAGGCGGGGAUGACGUCAAGUCCUCAUGGCCCUUACGGACUGGGCUACACACGUACUACAAUGGUGGUGACAGUGGGCUGCGAAGUCGCAAGACGGAGCCAAUCCCCAAAAGCCAUCUCAGUUCGGAUUGCACUCUGCAACUCGAGUGCAUGAAGUUGGAAUCGCUAGUAAUCGCAGAUCAGCACGCUGCGGUGAAUACGUUCCCGGGCCUUGUACACACCGGCUAC